rnacentral:rRNA from 1 species
ACGCUCGACACCUACGUGAGGCAGCAGUUGGGAAUAUUGGACAAUGGAGGAAACUCUGAUCCAGUGACGCCGCGUGAAGGAAGAAGGUCUUCGGAUUGUAAACUUAUUUUGUCAGGGAAGAAAAAAUGACUGUACCUGAAGAAAAAGCACCGGCUAACUACGUGUCAGCAGCCGCGGUAAUCUGAGCGGGCUGGCAAGGC